ensembl:misc_RNA Y_RNA Y RNA
GGCUGGUCCAAUGGCAGUGGGUUAUCAGAACUUAACAUUAGUGUCACUAAAUAGUAUACCACCACCACCACCACUGCUAAAUUUGAGGCUUUAA